rnacentral:tRNA from 1 species
UAAAGAGUAGUACAACGGGAGUACGGAGAGUUUUGAUCUCUUAGGUGUAGGUUCAACUCCUAUCUCUUUAA